rnacentral:rRNA from 1 species
AUUGAACGCUGGCGGCAUGCCUUACACAUGCAAGUCGAACGGCAGCACGGGAGCAAUCCUGGUGGCGAGUGGCGAACGGGUGAGUAAAGUAUCGGAACGUGCCCAGUCGUGGGGGAUAACGUAGCGAAAGUUACGCUAAUACCGCUUACGAUCUAUGGAUGAAAGCGGGGGAUCGCAAGACCUCGCGCGAUUGGAGCGGCCGAUAUCAGAUUAGGUAGUUGGUGGGGUAAAGGCUCACCAAGCCGACGAUCUGUAGCUGGUCUGAGAGGACGACCAGCCACACUGGGACGGGGACACGGCCCAGACUCCUACGGGAGGCAGCAGUGGGGAAUUUUGGACAAUGGGCGAAAGCCUGAUCCAGCCAUGCCGCGUGCAGGAUGAAGGCCUUCGGGUUGUAAACUGCUUUUGUACGGAACGAAAAGGUUUGGCCUAAUAAGCUGAGCUCAUGACGGUACCAUAAGAAUAAGCACCGGCUAACUACGUGCCAGCCGCCGCAGUAA